AAAGCAAGGAUGUGGUCGCGUCAUUUAUUCAUUUUUAUGUGUAUAGUGUACGUGUUAAAGGUGCUUGGUAGAUAAAUAAUUUAUGGUGAGAACUAAACUUUAUAUACCAGUUAAUUCAAACAUAUAAGUAAACCUCGAGGGAAGAUUGUUCCCCAUAACUUAUAUGCACAAAAAGAAAUUACAAAUAUUCUAAGUGGUGAUUUUCACCUUUUAUAUGGUCUCAAUUACUGGACAGUCUUAGCCUUAGUGGAUAGAGCUGGAAGGGUCCUUGGAUGAGGAUGUCUGUAUGCAGUCAAUACCCAAAAGACUAUCAAGGAAUGCAUUACAAACAAAAAAUAGCACACACAAGAUGUAUACCUAUGCACAACCAAGAAAUUUGUUUUGAAUUUUGUUUUUCAAAUGCAAUACCAUAUAUAAUAACAAAUUAUGUAUCAAUUGAAUUGAAGGAUGUACAAAAUUUAUAGAUUAUAUGAUUUAUACAAUAAAUCACGUGAAAAGUAAAGAA